UGCUCAUGAGCACAUUUUCAUGGAUUUGGCUGACACUUCUGAAGCGAAUGCAUUAGCCGAACUGGAACGCAUCUUAGAUAAAAUGUCGGAAGCUCUUGGUGUUAUGAAACGUGCGGAAAAAUUGGAAUCAAGUAUACGAUUUCUAAACUCACAGUACCGAGAUGGUAUUCGCACUACCGCACGGUCAUUGAGUUGGGACUUACGUAAGUCCUGCAAGUUAAAAGUUUGUGAAGAUUUUUAUUACAAUCUGAAACCACUCAGCUUAGGAAAAUCUAAAUGCUUACAUAUUGAUAUGGUCCCUGAUACAUCAUUUUAUGUUGAAGCGAUGAAGGAAAUUGUACAGGGAAAAUAUAAUGAAAUUCCUAAAAAUGGAUUAGCACGACUUCGGACGGUUGAUCAAUUAAUAAAGGAACAAAUGGAAAAAAUUAUUCCAGUAUUUGAACGAGAUCUCAGGAAGGGUCAUGACAUAAUGAUGGAACAAGCCACAAACAUAAGAAAUAUUAUUGAUGCCGUCAUAAGUGAUAUUCACUUAAACACAUUGCAUUCUGCCAAGACUUACGAUGAUGUUUACGAAAGGUUCGGCCCAGACCGUAGAGUUUUCAGCAGUUUAGUCCUUGUGUUACUUUUUC